AACGAACGCUGGCGGCAUGCCUAACACAUGCAAGUCGAACGCGUGUAGCAAUACACGAGUGGCGGACGGGUGAGUAACGCGUGGGAACCUGCCCAAUGGUAGGGAAUAACUGCGGGAAACUGCAGCUAAUACCCUAUGCUCCCUACGGGGGAAAGAUUUAUCGCCAUUGGAGGGGCCCGCGUCGGAUUAGCUAGUUGGCGGGGUAAUGGCCCACCAAGGCUACGAUCCGUAGCNGGUCUGAGAGGAUGAUCAGCCACACUGGGACUGAGAUACGGCCCAGACUCCUACGGGAGGCAGCAGUGGGGAAUAUUGGACAAUGGGCGCAAGCCUGAUCCAGCCAUGCCGCGUGUGUGAAGAAGGCC
rnacentral:rRNA from 1 species